CAGUAGCCACGGUAAUAUGUAGGGUGCAAGCGUUAAUCGGAAUUACUGGGCGUAAAGCGUGCGCAGGCGGUUUGUUAAGACAGAUGUGAAAUCCCCGGGCUCAACCUGGGAACUGCAUUUGUGACUGGCAAGCUAGAGUAUGGCAGAGGGGGGUGGAAUUCCGCGUGUAGCAGUGAAAUGCGUAGAUAUGCGGAGGAACACCGAUGGCGUAGGCAGCCCCCUGGGCCAAUACUGACGCUCAUGCACGAAAGCGUGGGGAGCAAACAGGAUUAGAUACCCGUGUAGUCCCUGUCUCUUAUAC
rnacentral:rRNA from 1 species